AAAUAACAGUAACGGUCCCUAAAUUUCCCACAGGCUGGUAAACAUUGGAGAUUUUUAGAUAUUCGCCCUUCCCUGCCUGGGAAUUUUUCCUCCACCCCUCCUCCCUCGUGUCUCAAGACAAUGCCUUCAGCCUUUGAAACUGCAUCCAUUGUAAACAGCUCUGAAUAUUAACGUGGCCCAGAGUCCCGUUCGCUUUUAAAAGACCCCUAGAGUUUCAAAUUGCAGCCACUGAGGAGGGGGGAGUAAAUGUCACAUAGCUCAUUCAAAAGGAAUUGAAAUUUAGGCUUGCUCGUGAAACUUAAAAGUCCUUCUACCUAUGGGGUAGGUCAGAGGAAUCCCUUUUAUGUUUUCAACAAACGAGGAAAAGAAGAAAAAAGACUCUGGUACAACCAACAUCCUUUACUGCUUACAGCAACUUUCAAGUCAAUGAAUCCCUCUUCUAGAUUUCCCUCUCCUGCGGAUGCUACUUUUUAAAUAACCAUAGGCUAUUUUAAACAACUUCCACCCAGCCUUCCUAGCUAACAAACCUCAGGGCUUUAGCAGGUGCACAGCACUGGGCCAGGUGCAUUGUUAAGUCACACAAAACCCCAGUGCUCUCUCCCACAUUCCUGUCCACCCUGAAAGAGAGGAUGCUGAAAAGAGUCUGCACCAAGGAGACACCCCUGCAGAAGCCGGAGAGUCCCUUUCAUUGUGAUCAUGGUGUCUGAGGGAGAGAAAGGUCAGCCAGAGGCCGUCCCAAUGGACUCAGGGAAGCUGCAGGGAGAACUCAGGCAAACAACCAGUAUCAUUUGCCAGAAACCUCACCUGACUCAAAAAAAAGUUGUCAGAGAACUACCAACAGACAAAUUCUCCCCCAUCAAGAGGGCCUGCCUGCCUUCCUAAUCCCAAUCCCAGUUCACAGAACAUUUAAACUAGCAACAUUUUGUGACUAAACACUGCUCAAAUUUAUGACACAGGUAAGAGUCUAAGGUAAACUGUAUUUAAUAUUUCUUAAAUAGCUUCUGAAGCCAUGCUCUCAAAAAUAAUUUCAAAGAAAGCAAGUAUCUGAGUUCUAAGAAGUUCAGCUUCUUCUCAGGUUCUGGGAAGUUGGAAUAAGGCUUGGCAGUAGCUUGGUGCUAUUUAUGAAUGUGCUAGUUGGACCAUGCCAAUCUCACCUACGUAAUGGGCUGGGAGACUGAAAUUAUGGCUUGACUACUACAACUAUAAGUUAUUGUGCUGAGUAAGUUAUCGUCAGGCCCCAGAAAUAAACCGAUUAUCAGCUCUAUUCUGUUUCUUCUAUUCACACUGCAUUUACAUUCACUGUUUAAAAGUUCUACUUUUCUUAUAUUAGGCCUAGAAGCAACUUCCACAUUAGAUGCACUGUUU